rnacentral:rRNA from 1 species
GCUACACAUGCAGUCGAGCGGUAACAGGAAAUAGCUUGCUAUUUCGCUGACGAGCGGCGGACGGGUGAGUAAUGCAUAGGAAGUUGCCCAGUAGAGGGGGAUAACCAUUGGAAACGAUGGCUAAUACCGCAUAACCUCUUCGGAGCAAAGCAGGGGACCUUCGGGCCUUGCGCUAUUGGAUACGCCUAUGUGGGAUUAGCUAGUUGGUGAGGUAAUGGCUCACCAAGGCAACGAUCCCUAGCUGGUCUGAGAGGAUGAUCAGCCACACUGGGACUGAGACACGGCCCAGACUCCUACGGGAGGCAGCAGUGGGGAAUAUUGCACAAUGGGCGAAAGCCUGAUGCAGCCAUGCCGCGUGUAUGAAGAAGGCCUUCGGGUUGUAAAGUACUUUCAGUUGUGAGGAAGGUUUCGUAGUUAAUAACUGCGUUGCUUGACGUUAGCAACAGAAGAAGCACCGGCUAACUCCGUGCCAGCAGCCGCGGUAAUACGGAGGGUGCGAGCGUUAAUCGGAAUUACUGGGCGUAAAGCGCAUGCAGGUGGUUUGUUAGUCAGAUGUGAAAGCCCGGGGCUCAACCUCGGAAGGUCAUUUGAAACUGGCAAACUAGAGUACUGUAGA